UCAAAACUGAGGGGCAUUUUCUGUGGUUUGAAAGGAAAGUGCACCCAGUUUUGGGG
rnacentral:pre_miRNA from 1 species